rnacentral:rRNA from 1 species
GACGAACGCUGGCGGCGUGCCUAAUACAUGCAAGUCGAGCGAGACUCUUCGGAGUCUAGCGGCGGACGGGUGAGUAACACGUGGGCAACCUGCCUGUAAGACUGGGAUAACACCGGGAAACCGGUGCUAAUACCGGAUAAUCCUUUUCCUCACAUGAGGAAAAGCUGAAAGUCGGUUUCGGCUGACACUUACAGAUGGGCCCGCGGCGCAUUAGCUAGUUGGUGAGGUAACGGCUCACCAAGGCGACGAUGCGUAGCCGACCUGAGAGGGUGUUCGGCCACACUGGGACUGAGACACGGCCCCGACUCCUACGGGAGGCAGCAGUAGGGAAUCUUCCACAAUGGACGAAAGUCUGAUGGAGCAACGCCGCGUGAGCGAUGAAGGCCUUCGGGUCGUAAAGCUCUGUUGUUAGGGAAGAACAAGUACCGGAGUAACUGCCGGUACCUUGACGGUACCUAACCAGAAAGCCACGGCUAACUACGUGCCAGCCGCCGCCGUAAAAC